AGUUGUACCCGCUGACACUCACCACCAACCUACGCGAUUGCCGGGCCCCCUACACCCUCAUCAGCAUGUGUUACCGAACCAAACGUGGGUCUGCUCGCCUUCGUGCAGUAAAGCCAACCUACUGACACCAAGUUGUGCUGAAGGAAAGUGCAGCGUUUAUUGCAAUACCAAGCAAGGAGUCCAGGCUCAUCACUGUCACGAGUAGGAAGUGGAUCGAGGCUGUGGCA